rnacentral:rRNA from 1 species
GGGCACACGGUGGAUGCCUUGGCGCCAGGAGCCGACGAAGGACGUAGCGAACGACGAAACGCUUCGGGGAGCUGUAAGCGAGCUUUGAUCCGGAGAUGUCCGAAUGGGGAAACCCACUAUC